AUUUAAAUCUCCAUUUAUGAUGUCACAAAGAAUUCUACAAUGUAAAAGGUAAGUUGGUGUUGCAUUCAUAACCUUUUCUCCGUAAAAUUCCUUUAAUUUUUGAAGAUGAAAUGUAAAAAGAAAUUAAUAACGAAAUCUAUUCUAAAAAACAGAAUGUCUUAUUUGACAUUGAAUUCCUUGGAAUAAGUUUUCUUCUAAAACAAACAUUCGAAGAAACUACAUCGAUCAGUCCACGUGGAUCUAUAAUGGAAUACAUUUGUUAUGUUCUGGAUGGUUCUCUAGAUAGCACUGCAUAACCAAAACACCACAUGGGAAUGUCGGAUCUCCGAUAGUACUGUAUAACUAUAUGGUAUUAUUUCCCCAGUAUGCUGUUUAUUAAAACAAUGACAGUUUUGUAGUAAACUUCCUUACACUUAUUUUUAUUUUCAACAAAACGUAUUUGUUUGUUCAUAUAAAUGAAAAUAUAGCCUGUACAUUAUGGGUUACAGUCAUAUAAUUUACCCGGACUCGGAAAUAAAACAAUCAAAAUACUGGAUUUGAUACUUCGAGCCGAAAUCUUGUACUACGAGGACCGAGUAACGUUUUCUAAUUUUCUAACCAAACGGAUAUAUGACUUUUGUGAAGAUUCUGCUUUACACUUGAGCAUUGGUGUUCUAAGACUGUUCUGCUAGUACUGGCGUUCAAAAUAUUCAGAAGUUAUUGCAUGAAAUAUCAGUUGGGUUUUCAUUUUCAUUAUUUUUGUAUGGUCACUUGUAUAUUUUCAUCUUAAUUGGUGCUGUUCAGCCUCGUUUGUCGUCUGCAAGAAGCUGGUGGUGUAGUAAAUUCUCAACAAUAUUUUGUUGGUGUGUAGUAUAUUUCCUUAUUUACUCCUUCUUCUCACAUUCAAUGAUACUCAUUUUCUCUUUAUAUAUGAUGUUUUAUGAAAUACAUUAUCUUAAGGCUGUAGUAAAGGAAUUUUAAAGAACCAUAGUUUGACAGCUAGUUUAGAGUUUUUGAUGGUUUCUGCAUGUGCAGCUACUUUUUCUUCUUCUUUCAAUUAUCACUAGGCAAUUGUUUCUUCAAUUUUCAGAUAAUUUAUCUUUCCCCAGAAUAUUCAAUUGUCGUAUUUGAUCCUCAUAAGUCAUUUCUAGGUAUACCAUUUGCAAUUUUGAAGAUCACAUAUACAUAUUUUUAUUUAUUAAUUGUUUCAUUCUAAAUAAUGAUACAAAUAAACAAAUAAACGCCCAAGAGUCUGCAACUCUGCUUAUGAACUCUCUUCCAAUAACUUGUCUUUUAACAUAGCUAUAACCUAUAAUGAGUUUGCCUCUGACGCGGUGAUUACGUUUAACUCUCCCUUUAGAACUUUCUUACCAGAGCUUAGCCACUGUUCUUUAUGUCUGUUAAAGCUGUAACUCUGUUGCCGGUACAUCUUUUCUUAUUACAGGUUUGUCUAUGUUUUGUUCGCUAAUGAAACAUCAAUUGGUGCAGCUUUGAUAUGGAACAUUUGCUUAUAGAUGUAUUCCUAUAUGAGUUUGUCUAUAUCAUAUCUGGAACUGUAAUUAUAAAGCUUUUUCUAGAGAUUAUCUUUAUUGUGUCUAUCAGUUUCAUAUCGGCAAUACUAUUUAUGGAACAUUUUUUUAAGAGCUUGUCCUUUGAUAUUUGUCAGCAACGUAUAUCUUCUUGUUUUAUUGGGGCUGUACAGUGUUGCUUAGAUUGUUUCAGACAUAUCUCUUGUCACAUAGAACUGUAUUAUAACAUUUUCUUCUUAUUGUUAACUCUAUGUCCAUUUAUUUAUAUAAAGCAAAUUAUUUACAGAGAGCAGACAUAAGUAUUGGUUGGGAAGACUUAUAUAUAUACUACACCUCAUAGUAUAUUUAUGGAACUGUGUGUCUACCCUCUUGGUCAAUACCACCACACGUUGUUACGGCCUCUUACGUUUCUUUUAAGGGUUAGUUUUUAAAACCUCCAAUGAUUGCAUUGCUUUAUACCACCACAUGUUAGACAGCCUCUUACGUUCCUUUUAAUGGUUAGAUUUUAAAACCCAUACUGAUUGAAUUGCUUUAUGGUUCUAGUCUUUAAAUUAUGUAGCAUUUUGUGUUUUUCCCUGUAAUAUGUUUUGGAUUUAAACAUUUGAAAACACAGGCAUUUUUUUUCCAAAUAUAGACAUAAUAUUCCAUCCAUGCUUCUGAUAUUAUAGUAACAAUCUAAUGGGGAUUUUUGAAUAAUAUCACUUGAACAUGAUAAAAAACAUAUAAAUUGUUCUGAAAAAAGAUUAUACUUAUGUGAAAAUCUAUAUAAUACUUAUUUUCUAUUAAAAGCCUAAACAUAUGUUGCCAAUGUUACGCCAUGCAUGUUGAUUUUCUACAUUCCGAUCAUUUUUGUUGACGGAUUUUAUCAAUUUUCCUGAUUUGUAUAUAACUAUGCAUAGAAACGCACGAGGAAAACUGGAAAAGUAACAGAUUGACACGUUCUUGAAUAAGAGUUGAAUCACUUAUCCACAAAAGCAGUAAGGACAAUAACGUCCACACGUGACCCAAAACUUGAAAAUUAUUAAGUUACAAUCGAUGUUCGAUCUUAUAUGAUUUGAUUAAGAUAAUUACAGAAAAUACAUAUUUUUUUUCACAUUUAACAAACUGCCAUGACCACAAUGAGUUGGGGUCUACUACAAGUAUUGCUGGUAUUUGGGUUCAUUUCAUUUCUGUGUUUUUACAAGGAAGUAUUUAACCAUGCCAACAUUAUUUUUGAAAAUAAACCAUAAAACCGGCAUUUAACAACAGUUCGUAAUGGUUCAAAGACGUCAAACUAAAAUUGUCCCAGACAUGCGUAGGAGGAUUUCAUAUUGACAAUGUUCUUUACAACUGAUCAUCGGUUUUUAUGAAUUUUAAAUGAGAAGUUUGAAAGAUUAUAUUUGCCCAUAUAGAAGUAUAACACGUUGUUAUACAUUAUCUUAUAUAUUGACGUAUAUUUUAUAACAUUUGACGUAAAGAAAUAUAUUUGCACAGUUUUAUUGUGAUAACGAAUCAAUGUUUAAUCAAUGUUUCAGUGAAAUGCAUUUGUUAUAUUUUCCUCGAGAAUUAGCAUAAAAAAUAAGAAGGGUCGGUUAAUAUUAUAUGGAAAAGUGCCAAAGUGACAUCAACCACAACACAUCAAGACAUCACAAGUUCAGGUUUAAACAUAUAACUAUGAGUGACCAUAUCCUACGACCUAAUAUGUACACAUUUGUUAUCCGUUGUGUCCAUGGUUAAAAGUAAAAUUUAAAAUCAUUGCCAUAUGCAUUUCCAUUCUUGAUCUUAGAAGGUUAUUCAAUAAGCUGUGAUUGAUAUGAAUACGACAAGUGUAUGAGUAGUACCUUUUUGGAUACACUUUUAAUGUUUCAGAGGGAAAUAACUGUUUUAAGAACAUGCAUAGGACACAGACACCCUGACUCUAAACCAUCACCAAAAAAAACCAAACUAAAAUCACUCAACACUCACUUAAAUUUGGUACCAGUCAAAUAUACUAAAACUAUCUUUGCAAACAAGAGUGAUAUUUGAUAUUGAUUUGAAAUGUUCGCAUCGGACUCAAAAUGAGAAACGUAGACAUAUUUUUUUAUAUAAGAAAUGACGAGAAUGUGAUGUGUUACUUCGCUCUAUUUACAUAUAUGAAUUUUCAGUUACAUGCAUCCUUCAUUGGGUUGCAACAAAUGAUGUUUACUAUAGGAAAUCAAAAUAAUUCAUAUUAUGUAUAAUUUUCCUUUUCAGAACACAAAUACAGAUAUGUAGAGAAAUUGAAAAGAAAUGCAUAAAUGUUUAAAGGUAAGUUUUCAAGAGGUAUUUGUAUAACAUUAUUACUUAUAUUAUACAUCAAACGAAUCAAUAGUAGAUAAUGCUGAAAUGAAAAUUGCAAUGGUUGUUGUAAACAUAUGGUUUUUUUUAAGUCGAAAAAGCAGUAACGAAUACUUAGAUUUGUAAGGUUUAGUACAGCAACGAAACAAGUUGCAACAAAAAGGGACAAGGAGGCGAUAACUUUUAAGCUGAACUUGAUCGGUAACUACAAGAUUGAAUCAUAUUUUGAAUAUGAGCUUCAAUCUAUGCAUCACAAUCACAAUCUCUGAUAUAUUUGUCUGACAUAAAUCUACUAUAGUGUAUCCCUCUGCAGGGACUUUCUAUACUUAGUAUAGAAAGUCCCUGCCCUCUGUUUUUUUUUAUGGAACAAUAAGGCAUUAUACCAAAGUAACUGUUAAAAUGUAAACUUCACUUUGGUCAUGUAAACAUUUGAAUUAUACAAGGGAAAAUUUGUGUGUCUACCGUAUAAUGUCUCUACUUGAAGACCUGUCCAAUAUAUUUAACUUCAUCGAAAAGUAGCCAACUGGCUCUUAAAUAACCAGUUUGGAAAUAUUGUUGUCCCCAAAAAGAACAAACGAUGCACCCGAUAUGUCUGCACAAUAUGCACACCUUGGUAAUAACACUAUUGUUCGAUUAAGAAGCAGCUUUGACUUCAGUUCUACUCUUUACUUUAUAAUCCUGGUACCUUUGAUUUAAAGAAAACACCAUUCUAAAUCUGAAAAAAAAAACGACAAUUUUAAUUCUCUCUAAAUCAUCAAAAUGGAGAAACUCGAACAAUCUUUCGAACUACCUGAUUAAAUGUCUGGUCAUUAUUUGCACCUUCACCUUAAGAUUACAAAGUAGCCUUUCCUGACCAUCAAGUUGGACUCCUUCGAUACGUUUAAUUAUUUAGUCUUGUCUUAGUAAAAAAAGAUGAUUUCAGUCAAUGCUACAUCAUCCCUAUACAUAUCAAUACUGGAAUUAUUCAGUGUAAUUAAGUACUAGGAAUUCAUUGAUUUUGGAACACUUUUUUGAUAGUAAAAGAAUACAAAUUCCAAAAGAGGGACGAAAGAUACCACGGGGACAGUCAAACUCAUAAAUCGAAAAUAAACUGAAAAAUGAAAAAGACAAACAGACAAACAAUAGUACACAAGACACAACAUAGAAAACUAAAGGAUAAACAACCCUUAUCGCAUCAAACACUAGGGGUGAUCUCAGGUGCUCCGGAAGGGUAAGCAGAUCCUGCUCCACAUAUGGCACCCGUCGUGUUGCUAUGUAAUAACAAAUCCUAACCUUCCUUAACGCGCAUCUGGCGUAUAUACUAAAUUUAGUCCUGGUAUCUAUGAUGAGUUUAUUUACAAACUAUAUAUUCAAAAAAGGCAUUCAGUACAUUGUUUGUGGCAUUCGUAUGAUUGUUCUUUUCUGUUCUGAUUUGAACAUUCAUCUUUAAACAUGAUCCCAGGACAGGUGUAUCGAUAGUUUUUUAUACCAUUGUUUCAAUAUUAACAACAUAUUGGUUUAUGAUCACUGAAAUCUGCAAAAAGAAAAGGUUUGGUAAGACCAUUAUGUGUCCCUUUAUAACGAUUACAUACAGUUAUGUAAAUCAUUUAAACAAAUGAAAUGUUCAGAUGAUAACAGUAGUGAUACACUAUAAUAAUUUUUCCUUCAUAUUUUUGCUUUAGGUUUUCAAUAUUUUUACAUUCAAUGAAACUAUUGAAAUUCAAUAAAUGUUUUAUUUUCAUGUCUUUCAAGCUUUUUGAAUUCAAGGAAAUUGUUAAAAUGCCAAAAACUAUUUUAAGUCUUAUAGUGAAAAUUUCAAAAUGUAGAAUAGGUUUCCCAAAGAUAUAUUGGUCUACAAGAAUACUCGAGAAUAUAUGAUGCUGAUGGGAAGCAAGAUAAUUUUUUCCAGUGAGCUUUUACCUUACUAUAGGGAAAAAUAAAAUUUGGAAAUUGAUUUCUUUUUAAAUUGUUCAAAAAUUUGUGAAGACACACACUAGUUGCUUUUCACCUAUAAUCAAUGAAGGCUUUAUUAAUUCAGAUUGAUAAACAUAUUCAAGAAAUAUUGACUAUCUUUGUUAGGGGUCACGUACUUGUUUAGGAAGAUUAAAAAGUCUGAAAUAAUUACAGAGCAACAGAAAAACCAUUAAUGAUUUAUAAAUUAAAGGUUUGAAAAAAAUCUUGUUUUUUUCCAUAAAAUAUUGUAAUGGAAUUCAUUGUUACUUAUAUUGAUCUCUCCCCGGGAUAACAAUGGUAACAUUUCUUCCAACCGGAAGUAACUAACUUAAUAUGUCCGUUGCCUGAUUGGUUUACGUAGUAAUCUCACGUGUAGUUUUAUAUUUAUGGAAUUUAUUCCGGAAAUAGUUCUUGAUUCAUAAGAUAGAGAUUUUCCAGAAUAAAUUAAGAAAUUAUGAAAGCUGCUAGUUCGAUUUUUUUUUCCUUUUCAUAUCAUUGUUUCAAUUAUUAAUAGGAACCCGUCACAUACUUCGACUCCUGGUAUUUAAAAGCAAGAAGAUUCUUAAUCAAAAACUAUAUCUUAUUCGACAACAAGAUGUACCAAAAGGAAGAAUGAUUCACUUAUCAAAUUAACUUUCAGAGUCAAAUUCCAGUAUUUCAACGCUGAUUUCCAAUAUACUCAUGGAUGUCAUUCGGUUUAACGCGAGAAAUGAUCGUGAAGAAUAUCUAACGACGGUCAAGUAUUGGGUGACGAUCGUGAAAGCUCUGGUACCAGAUCAUGAAAGACAUUUAAUGUUAAUGCUAGUUCAGAAUCUGUGAAAAAAUCGCUUAAUUUUCAAAACGCGGAACAAAUCCGAACAAAAAAUGUGUCUGUCAAAAUGAUCCAACUUUCUCAAAAUUACUGUGCAAUAAGAUAAAGAAAAUAUGCAGUACUUUAUGAAAAAACACAAAAGGCGCAAUGCAUGUCUACGGAAUUAAUUAAAAAGAACACGCAAAUUGUACCUAUAAUGAUCAUAUUUCAUAAUAUCAUGAUAUAUUUGGAAUUUAAUCUUUGAUGUAUCUGGUAGUACAGUAAAAUAAAAGUAUACUCUUCCCUUUAAAGCGUUUAUUUGUUUAUGAAAACCUUGAAUUUAGUUGAAUUUUCAUCAAACUUGAUCGUGAAAGAUCAUGCAACCCAUUAUUGUGAUUGUGAAAGAUAAUGCGUGACGAGACUUAAUACUAGUAAUUAGAAAUCAAUAUUUCUUUAACCGUUUGAUAUACCAGCAACUGGUUGAAUCCUGUAACUAUUUUGAUAAGGAUGAACAUUAAAGCUAUUUUUUUCAAUUCAACACUUUACUCGAAAGGUAAAAAACAACUUAAAACGUGUCAAAUCAAUGUGAAAAAUUCAGCUCUGAGAAUUGGUCUAGUAAAAUUCAGGAAGUCAACCACUAUUUAGCCAAUAUUAUGGGUAUGCAACUUUCAAACCAAAAUGUUAACCAUCAACCAAAAACCUAUAGCAAAACAGCAUCUUUCAUGAACUAUUCGAUAUUGAACGAUAACCAACAUUUUGUGCAACAGUACCUUAUUAAUUUCUAUGUAUCUUCAUAUACAACGUACAGUGUAGCAGAUGUGGAAUGAUUCCCAAUGAGAUAACUAUAUACUACAGACUUAAGAAUACUACAUCGUAAAUGCCGAAAUGUUUCGUCUGCUUUAUUCAUAAUAUUAUAUCUGUAAUAUUAAGGAUUUUUCUAGAAGUGUCAAAUACACUUAAUAUUGUCAUUGGUUCAUAAAAAGAGGGCAAAGUCAGAUUUACCAUGCCAUACAGAUCUCUACAAACAUCCUGUACACCAAAUAUAGGUGUUCCGAACUGACAAACGUAAAAGUUAUGUUUGGUCAAUUUAUCUGGAACAUAAGGUGGAAAAUAUAUGAACCCUGACGUCGCGACUUCUAUAAAAAAGAAUUUUGCAAUUGUACAGGAACUGCUUGGUUUCUUUAAACGGAUAUCGCAUUGAUAUUGUUGAGGGUGUACUCCAUAACCUCAAAAUGUCCGAAAACAAUAAUAUGCAAUUAUUUGAAAAGUCAAACUUCUUAUUUGCUAUAAGAUUGAACAACAUCAAAAGAUACCAUAGGAAUUCAAACCUUGCUAUUUCUUUAAUUGCAAUUGGCAAUAACUUCACAAUUUUAUUCAUUUCCACAUCAUCUUCACAAUAUUCUUGUGUUGUUUCUGCUGUUUAUUUGGCUCAUCUACACUGGAUUGCUUUUUUCGGCGUUUUGUUGACCAUUGUCUUUUCUUAUUGCCGAGGUUGUUAUUUCUUUUUAAUAUGAAAAUGCUUAAAUUAUUUGAGGAUCUUUGAUAAUCUAAUUUUUCUCAAGAUUAAUAACAAAUAUUAAUUAUCGUAUAAUUGAAGAAUAAUUUUAACGUCUUCGUAGCAUCAGAUCUUUCACGAUUCUUUUCACGAUCUUCAAAAAGCGGUACGUGAUCUUUCACGAAUCGAAAAAACAAUUUUGUGUAAAUAUUUCUCUUUUUACCAAGUUUAAGAUUAUGUUUAUACAAAAUAACUAUGAGAACCAUUUGAUUGAUUCAAAUAGAAUGCCCUUAUUCGGAUAAAGGUGGUUUAUUUUAUUCGAAUUUGUAAAAACUAAUGUUUGUUUACAUUUUUAUGUCAUUGAAAUGUCGAGAAGCAAUCUACCUUUUGUUGUUUUUUAAAAACUAUGUACUUUUAAAACUGGAUUUUCUCACAUACUGAUCAUAAUGUUGAACUAUUUUGACAGACAGUUUUAUUUUGUUAUAAAUUUGUCCGUGUUAUUAAAUAAAUAAGAUUAUUUACUGAUCUUUCAUAUGUAUUCUCGAUUAAAUGUCUUUCACGAUUCGGUAUCAGAGCUUUUACGAUCGUCUCGCAAUACUUGACCACCAUUAGAUAUUCCUUCAUGAUCAUUUCUCUUGUUAAACCGAAUGACACCCGUGAUACUAGUACUAUAGUAAUUAAUCUAUUGAUCAUUUUCAAUAGGUUUAUAUGUUGUUUUUCUUGAAGCUGUACUGCUCCGGUUUUAAAAAGUGUCAGACCUUUACCAAAGAUUGCAAGAAAACCUCAUGGGAUUUCGUUCAGCCAAUAAUAAAACACGUUUUUUGUGUGUGGAAUAAAAGUCUUCUAAAGCAUGCACUAUCGAUGAUAUACUAGUACAUUAAUGUCUCAACCAGAAAUGUGUCUUUAUUAAAGAUUAUAACAUUCUCCUUGUUGACCUAUCUAAUCACUCUCUAAUUACAACAUUCCUAAUUUUAAAUCUUCUUGAUACAAACUAUGAUAGAACUCUAUGGUACACGUGAUUAUGUAUCAAAAGGCUAACUGUACAACAAUAAAUUACCUGCUUAAGAUUCAGUAUUGUUCGGUUUUGAUCACCUUCUGUUGUUGGGUUUAUACCUCAUUGAGUUGGUAUCAUGAACAAAGGCAAUAGUAUUAUACCGGUGUUCCAAAGUCAUAAACCGAUUGUUAGAAAACAAAUCCCGCUUACAGACUAAAACCGAGGGAAACACAUCAACUAUAAAAGGAAAACAAAGGAACAACAGUAGCACUGAAUAAAACAUAAAAUCACAAAAUUACUGAACUCCGAUGAAAAUCAAAAAAAGAAAGUCCCUAAUCAAUUGACAAAAUACAGGCAUUUUCUUAUGUGGAUUGACCAUGGUUUUAAACUAGCUCAACCUCUCACUUGUAUGAAAGUCACAUCAAAUACCAUUAUAUUGAAAACGAAGUGCAACAAAAACAAACGCCAACAGUGUUAGAAACGGACUACCAUAUUCCUAACUUGGUACAGGGAAACUUUAAGAAAAAUGGUAUCAUGUCUUUUUUCUGCAAAACUCGAAAUGUUAUGCUUUUGAUUCCUAUUUUUUAAGACAAAUUUACUAUCAUAACAACCCCUUCCGUUUAAAAAGUUUUGAAUUAUCGUGCAUAUAAGGUUAUCGUUUAAUAUUUUCAAUUGUCUUAGACUUUGUUAACAACAGUUUCUGUUUAUCAUGUAUCUAUGUAAUUAUUGAUAUUGUAUUUACUUAUCCUUACCCUAAUCAGUGUUGAAUUCCAAACAGGAUCCAUUAGAAUCUUUGAGAAAAUAAACCUUUGCAUAUCUAAUACAAACUUAUAGCUUUUCGUUUUUGCAGAGAUGAUUGUCCAAAAAAAAGGGGACGUAAGGGAACGUUAAGUAUCAGACAACAAGUUAUAUAGAGGCAGAAGCCUACCUUAAAAUGAAACACUUUAUCGGCAGAAGUAGUGAUGUGUUUAAUAUACAUACUUCAAAAGGAAGAGGCCGAUUUCUGUUGAGCCGCAACUCUUCUGAAACCAUACAAAGUCGGAAAAAUUGUUAUAUGACGUAAAAGAGUUGUAAAGUAGUAAUGUAGACGGUAUUGAAUCCUUUCUUUUAGGAAACACGUCAAUUAGAUGAUGAUCAAGAUGACUGAAAAAAAUGCCAGAUAUAGAUAAUUCUGAAGAAAAAAACCCAAUUCUAGUCGGAAAAAAUGAAAACAGGCAUGGAAGAUAUAGAAACAAGAAAUAACUAUCAACACAACAGACCAAUACUCAAAACAGCGGUACUAAAUUUUAAUAUACAUAUAUUCAUAUCUCUUCAUGACAAGUUUUAUAGAUUGAACAUAUAUUUCGUUAAGGACUCUUAAAAUGCAGUCCGAAUAUUCUAGUUGUUAAUUCUUAAGUCAGAAAGAAUCCGAGAAUACAAGGACUUCGAUUAUAAUUGAAUUAUAGAAAACACUCCAAGAUUAAUACGACACCCACCAGAAGUCCAUGACCAGGAAGUGACUUUAAAACAUAAACAUUCUAUUCUUGUUUACUGUAGAAGCUUAUUAUAUACCAUAAGCUUGGUAGGAAAUAUUUAAAAAAGUAAAAUCACAAAAAUACUAAUUCCGUAGAAAAUUCAAAACGGAAAGUCUCUAAUCAAAUGGCAAAAUCAAAUGAUAAAACACAUCAAAGGAAUGGACAACAACUGUCAUAUUCCUGACUUGGUACAGGCAUUUUCAAAUGUUAAUUAUAUGCUGAUAAUUUUUAUAUUUUUCAAGUUAAUACAAUUUAUAGAUAAUUUCCAGCACAACAAAUAUAACAAUGAUAAUCUUCUACCAUGUAUGAUUGAACCACAGCUUGAGAAUUGUUUAUUGCAUAUUUGAUCAAGUUAGUAUUGAUAUUAUUUAUAGAUGAUAACACCACACAUGUCUUUAUUAUCAUUUGUUGAUUUAUUGACCAUCAGAUGUUCAACCAAACGUGUGAUGUUGGUGCAAUUAAAAUGCAGUUACAAAUGAAACAAGCAGAAUAAUACUAUGUAUAGUCUCGUUUAGAAUGAGUAAAUCAGAAAAAAAGAGAAUACCAAAUAUUUGGCGCUAACUUAAUGUAGUAAAUGAUUCAUAAUUGUUCUGUUUACUAAAAUUAGCUGGAAGGCUACCAUUUAGAGUGAAUACUGGUAUGUAAGAUUUUCACCAGAUAUCAAUAAAAAUAAAUCCAUUUUAUUGGCGCGUUACGUUACAUGUAUGAUAUUUGCUUAUGAAAAAAAAAAAAAAAAAAAAAAUACGCGAGAUUGUAUCUUUUCAAAUACAAUGCGCUCUCCAAUAAAACAUAUUUUUGAGUAAACUGAAAAUGUCAGCUGUUGCUGCGAAUUUGUAAAACAAGUUUGAAUAUUCAAUAUGUAGACAUAUUGUACAGAUAAGAAACGGUGGUGUUUGGGAGCACGUAACACCCCACAACAUUCUUUGGCUGCACUAAGACAGCCGGCUAUAUGGACCACAUGGUGUAAGUUAUUGUUUUUUUGUGUUAGGUUUUUUCUAUUGUACUUUCCAAAAAAUGUUGGUUAUUCCUGUUGAUCCUGUUACCCCUUUUUUGUAAUUUUAAAAAUUAACUAUCUAAAAGACAGACUGGGGAUUAUAUAUGUUUUGAUUGUAAAACAAAGGGAUAAUACAAAUCGCCAUAACAUAGAUUUUACUUCAUCAAGCCAAUAAAUAAGUUAAGUUAGUAAACUACACUGCACUUGCUUUAUUUCUAGUUUACUAUUUGUCAUGCACUUGACGGUACAACAACACUCAAUUAUAUGAUCCAUUCCCCUGUGGAACAAAAACCCUAAGUUCAAAAUAAAGACUACAGGGACAAAUAAAGUGACAUCUUAAAUGUCUCUGCUUAAGUGUUUUGUCGUUUUUAUACAAAUUACACUUCUUUAUUGUGUUAUGUACAACUAUUUUAUAUAUUUGCUGCAUUAAAGGAAAAUAAAAAGAUAUAGGAAUGAAUAAAUACAAAAUCCCAAUCCUUCUUUUGGUUUUGAUAUGCUAAACUGUCUUUCUCGCUGACAAUCAUUUUAUAGGUUUGAAAAGUAAUUUUCACAAAUUAUUAAAAAGACAGGUUUUUGUAUUUUCAAUUUAGAAUGUUACGUGUUACGGGUAAUGGAAUAAAAUCUUUAAAAAAAAGCGUGAAAUACUUUAAUUUUCUGAGGAAAAGAGAUUAAAAAAAAAAGAUGAAAUUGGUUUCGAUCUAUUUUGUACCAAUGCAUAUUUUCUAUUUUCAGAAUAGAUUUAAAGUCCACCUACUCGCAAUUUGUUUAAUCAUUUUUUUCUUAUGUAUAUUAUAUGUACAAGAAAGUGUUUAUAUUAUUUUCACGACGAUACAAGGGAUAAAUUGGGAAUGUAUUUCAACAGUUUUAAAUGACCAGCUUUUAUACACCGUAUUCUAGACACGAAAAACGGAUUUUCUGUUUGAAUGAGUAGGUCUGUCAUCUUUGUCGACUUUCCUAUUAAUUUCCCAUCCAAUUGUGCUUCACUUCCCAGGCAUACUGCAGGGUUUUAAAAUUACAUUUUUUAAAUAUUCAUAUAAUUAUAUAUGAUUGAUCAAGUAUCGAUCAGUACUACAAUCUGCUGUCAAUGUAGAGUAUUAUUUGUUGAAAUAAAGGUGUGUAGAACAUGGUGGAAUAAUUCUAAUCCUGUCACAUUUUGAUAUGGAGUACCUCUCAAGAAAAGAUGUAAAGCAGGUACUAAAAUUAAUACUUAUACGUGUAUAAGUUUGUCCGACUAUUUUGCGUUUUAAAUUCUACAUGCUAUCCGGCAGUUUAGAUGCGAGCACAUACUAGUUAUUUUUCUUUUUUCUACUUCUUAUUAUUUAUUAGUUAGCAACAUGUUUUCUUUUAUUUCUAUUUAUAAAAGGCGGCCACAUAUAAAGGAUGGAUAUUUUCAUCGUUUUGUUGAGUACAAAAAUCUAUGAAAAUAUAAUAAAGUAUUUUUUUCGUUUUUUUUAAGGAAAAUAUCUUAGUAACAUAUUAUGUUUUAGAUUUAAAUAAAGUUACACUGAAUAUUCAGUAUAUCAAAUUCAAUCAUACUGAAUAAACUAUUUAAAAGUAAAAACAAACAAAUAAUGUGAUGAACAAAAAAAAGUUUGAUGUUCAAAAACUAAACAGAAAAAAAACUGUCAUAAAUCGGAUAAAUUGGUUUUGAGCUGUAUUAAUAUUUGAUCAUAAAAAGAACGAAAACUAUUUUUGGUACAGAAAAGUUGCUUUUUUAUUUUAUAGUUUUGCUUAUUCAAUAAUCAUUUCUUUGCAUUAUCUGCUGUCUCCCUAUUUGCCAUAGUUUGAUUUUCAUAAUUGGUUUAUUUUUGUAUAAUUUUGAUGAAUCAAUUUGCUUGAUAAAAUUAUCAUAUAGCAUUACAAUGAAAUUAUCUGUCUGCAUAUUUACUUUCAUUAUUUUAUUUUUUUGUGUAAAAUAUACUAUAUAAAGAAAACUUUUAGAUAUUGCAUUUUAUUUCAAUCUGUGAAUCUUAUGGUAUGAUAGUCCGAUUGUUUAUUUGAAAAAAAAGUUAUUUAAACAAAGAUGUAGUUCAAAUAAUGCUUUUAGAAAUUAUUUUUUAUUUUCAAUUUGUUUUCUUUCUGGGUGAAUUGAAUUGACAUUAAAAAAAAUUAUGUUAGAUUACAAUAAAGAAUAUAAAACGAAUGAAUGUGAAAUUGAUUUGAAAACAUUGACCGACCCAUUCGUUGGGUUAAGACUUGAACUCUUGCUGAAAUGAAGUCCAAGAUGAGCGAAUAACAAAUUGUAUGUUUCAUUUGAUAUGUUGUGCUAAAGAUUUUGUUUUAAACAAGAAACAUUAAGUGAUGUUAAAAAUUUGUAAAAACAAAUAAACAUGAUAAAAGUAUACCAUGGUAAUCACAUGAACUCCCAACAGGGAGAGUCCUGUUGCCUCGUCUCUGUCGAACUGCAUGUAUAAUACAUACGUUUUCCAAACGAUAAUAUACCAACAUACUCUUUUACAUAUGAUAUGUUCUUUAAUUCAGAGAUGAUAUAUUUAUAUUUGUGUGCAGUGUUAUGUAGAAUGUUGUUUUGCUGUUCGCUUUUCCCCAUUUUGCCAUGAUAUUUUAUUGCCAUGGUAUUUAAUAGCCCCUAGAUAUCUUCUCCACAUUUUAUGAAUUAAAUAAAAUUUAUUAAAAUGACCACCAGUAUAAAAUAAAAGGGAAAUUUAGAAAAUAAAAAUUCCGAUCGUACUAGAGCUUAAUUGGUAGUCAAUGUCGUUUUAAACUCCCCUCGUCGCAUUAGAAAAGAACCUUUUGUUAUCAGAAUGAAAAAUGCCUCUAAAGUUUACAAAAUAUUCUAAUUUUCUAACCCUGUCAAAAUUAUGUUAAUUCUUAAUAAAUUUUGGUAAAAUAGUAAUGUCAUUGAAGUGCAAAUGUAUGUGUUCUCGCUGUGCCGUUUUAAAUUGUUUGAAUUGACGGAUCUGCUCAAAAAGGUAUUUUACUAAUCAUUUCGGUAAAAUUAUAUAUUAGCAUGCAACUGCGAAACUCUAAAACCGUUUUUUUUUUUUCUGAUAUCAUUAUAUCUUUGUUAAAACUCAUGUCGCUUAUAUAUUUUGGUAAGGUUUUUGCUCGUUUCUAGAUAUCAAAACGUGACAAAAAGUUUUAAAAAACCCAUAAGACAAAAGUUCAAUUUACUGACAAACCAAUUUCUAUGUUAAUGCAAGUAUAACAUUUAAACACAUUUGUGAUAAUUACAAAUAAUGCUGCCAUAGCAUACCUUCCCCUUUUAAAAUAUUUCAUAAAUAAGAGCCUCGUCAAUUUAGCAAAUUGGAACUCAAUAAGACCAUAUCAACCAUAUGAUUAAUCAUGUCUAUGAUACAUAUAAUGCUAUGUUCAAUAUUCUCACCAUUUGACAUUGAGUGAUUUUAUCAACAAAGAUAGAUAUGUGAAAUAAAAGAAUCAUAUUGAAAAUGACAAGAUAAAAUUUCCAGAAAAUUGUUAUAAUAUUUCUCUAGUACCUAAAGUACCUCGAUCCACCUCAAUUCCUAUGUUUUCGUUCAAAAUACGAAAAAAAGAACAGAAAUGAGACAACUUGCCAAUAGACAUAACAAAAUACUCUAGAGACUUGUUGAUUUUUGGUAUAAAAAUCAGAAGGAAAAGAAUUGUCCUUGGGUUUGCUAAGGCUGGUUUUAGUUUAAUUCUCAUGUUAAAACCAAUCUCCGAGAAUACAGCUGAUGCAGUGAAAUCUGUUUCUUUGUUAUAUGUUUUAUGCUUUAAAACAAAAACAGUUCAAACAAUGUGUUUAAGGUCUUGAGAUAUUUUUUUAUAAACAGCAACAUGGUAGAAAUUUUAACGCAAAAUGUUACUUGCAAAAAUCCAUAGCUUAUCGAAAAGUUCGCGAACUUUAAGCUCUAAUAAUACUUUGAUAUGAAAAACUUUAAUAGGAAUAUUUGGUAAUACAUGCACAUAAAAUAUUUAAUACUACAUUUUCCAUAAGUAUAUGUAAAUCCAAAUUAAUUGUUAGAAAUGCUGAAACCAUCUGUUGGUACCAGGAAAGCUGUUUCCCAUUGAUUUAUGUAGAAUACAAAGUCUUUCAUUCUUAUUUUUCAAUUAUAAAUUAUAAUUCGUAUGAGGAAAAUCUUUUUAUAUAUGCUUCUGUGAUGAUCUGUAUUCCCAAGAAUUAUUUAAAGAAGCUAGUAUGGUUUCCUAUUGUUGUCACUUCACGUCUUUCAAUUCAGGGUCACACGAUUGAUACUUGUAUUGAAUUUUUAUUGUAUUAAAUUUUUUUAUUGACAUGUAGACAUUCUUAUUUUAUCUUGAUUAUAUUUGAAUGCUAUUAUAUACAUAUAUUGUAAUCCUAGGUUUUAUUGAUGAAAAUUCCCCGAAAUAUUAAAGUAUAUAAAUAGAAACUAAACAUUUAUAUAUAACUGAACUAAACCAUUAGCAAGGUUCCGUACAAUAUGUAAGCAUUUUCAAAAAAAACAUGUUAAAACUGGCUGUUAUAUAUUUCCUAUUUUUUAAGCAUCUCUCUAGCGAUAUUAAAAUCCGGUAAACUCACAUUUUUAAUGUAGUCAUAAGUCCUGACAGCUCGUCUUCGUUAUCUUAAACUGUCUAUUGGUUUUAAAAUCUUAUUUCAAAACAGGAUAUUCAACAACAAAAAAUAGUGCAAAGACUUGUAUAAACACAAAAAGGUUUUACAAACAUUUUUUUUUAAUGAAAUAGGGAACACUGUCAAAAUUAAAUAUCAUGUUAUAUUUAAAAAAAACCUGUUGGAUUCAUGAGUAUUACAUGUACAACAUAUUGUGGAACAGCAAAUUUUAGUUUCUUUGUCAAAUCUUAUGAAUUCAUUAUUGACCACAAAUCAUCAAAUUAUGGAAUAAUAAAGUAAACAGGCUAAUUCACGGUAAAUUGUUUUCUGUUGAUACUUUCCUCCAAAUUUGUAAAACUCUUUUUAUUUCAUAAAGAUUUAUACAAAAGUAAACCUUACUUAAUGUUAAAAUGUAUGUAUCAUUUAUGAGAUUAAAAUAUGUAAUUAUUUCAGGUGAAAAUCUCCUAGGCAACACAGUAACAGCCGACCAACAGAAAGAGAACGGAUUAGGAGAUCAUGAAUAAAAAGUAAAAAGGAGCAAUCGAUUUGAACGUAUUCAAACAGAAAACCCGCUGUAGCAACGAAUAAAUCUCAUUAUUAAAAGUCGCUAAAGCGCAAGGUUUCGUUGCAACAUGUGUCGUCAGUCCACAUCAUAAGUAGGUAUACAGUCUUACCGAGAUGUCGUCUGAUGAAAGACGUGCUGAGUCCGCUCCAAGGGUGAGUCCACUUAACUGUAUCUUUAAAAUGAAAAAAAAUAUAUUACAAAAAGUUUAUUUAAAAACAUUUAGGAUCUUUUUAAAAUGGUGAAACAUAUUAUAUGUGAUUUAAUUUGCGCAAAGUGGAUACUGCAUCGAAGCUCUGUCAGAAAAGUAUCGUUAUAACUGUCCUAUGCAUUAUUUUGCACAGCACUAUUAAUUAAAAGCUGUGAGGACCAAAUGGAAUUAUCAAAAAUCGAAUAUUGCGACUCAGUAAAAUUUGAUGUUACACACAGAUUUACUUUCAUUCGUCAUUAAAUCAAUUUCUACCUUAAUCUUCUUUGCUUCAUUUGAAUAAUUAUAUUUGAAUCAUUGGCACCUAGCAGAAUUCGCAUUGCCAACGUGGCAAAUAAUUCCGCUACACAAAAUAGUGCAACAUGUCGUUUCCAAUUUACAUUUUAUUGAUUAGUUUUUUUUUAUAUGACAUUAAAUAAGAAGUUUUGAAGCUGUUUAGUUGAUUCAUAACUGUGGUGUAACAAUCAUGGUGGUCGCUUUUUUAAUUGCUUCUUGUCUGAAUCAGGUAGUAUGGUUCUCACAGAAAGCUGGUUUGCAAUGGAUGUUUUUUUACCGGGAUGAUGACAAUUUAUGGCGAUUUAAUGAGGGAAUUGAUUCAGCAAGACGUUUACCGUGCAUCGACAGAAUCUUAAACACGGUGGUCUCCUAAGAGCACAUGUCGAGUCACGUGACAAAGUUUCUUCUCACCUUUUGAUUGUUGCUCAGAAAGCCAGUGAAUUUAUAGUGGCUAUCGAGCAGCAAUCAAAGAUUGAAGGAGGGUAUACAACAACAAAGAACAUUCAACAAGAAGAAGGAAAAGCAUUAUAGUUCCAGUCAAUAUAGCAGAAUUUUCGGAAAAGACGUGUCCGAACAGAUUUCUUGGCAGACUUAAAGGGAUUACUUAACAUUUGGAUAGUUCAAAAAAAUCAUUUACUACUUCACAGAACG
rnacentral:lncRNA from 1 species